rnacentral:rRNA from 1 species
UACGAAGGGGGCUAGCGUUACUCGGAAUUACUGGGCGUAAAGGGCGCGUAGGCGGCGCUCCAAGUUAGGCGUGAAAGUCCUGGGCUCAACCUGGGAACUGCGCUUAAGACUGGAGUGCUAGAGGAUGGAAGAGGGUUGUGGAAUUCCCAGUGUAGAGGUGAAAUUCGUAGAUAUUGGGAAGAACACCGGUGGCGAAGGCGGCAACCUGGUCCAUUACUGACGCUGAGGCGCGAUAGCGUGGGGAGCAAACAGG